rnacentral:rRNA from 1 species
CCAUGUUCGUGAUUUGGGCUAUAUUACGGACCCUCAAUUACUUGUUCAAGCAUUGUUUUCGAAUUUUUUCAUGCAUCAAAGCUCGUUAAGACUAGAUGGGGUAUCCCUACAUAGCGGGUGGGACCCACGGCGAAUGGUUCAUCAAGUCUUCAAAAAAGAAUAUAUACGAUUGCAUUGCAUAUACUAACGGAUGCGAUCAUACCAGCACUAAUGCACCGGAUCCCAUCAGAACUCCGCAGUUAAGCGUGCUUGGGCGAGAGUAGUACUAGGAUGGGUGACCUCCCGGGAAGUCCUCGUGUUGCAUCCCUCUUUUAUGUUUAACCUUUUUUUUUUUGGUUAAAACUUUAUGACUCGAUAACUUAUACACGG